rnacentral:rRNA from 1 species
CCUACGUGGGGCAGCAGUGAGGAAUCUUGGUCAAUGGGCGCGAGCCUGACCCAGCCAAGUAGCGUGAAGGAUGACUUUCCUACGGUCUUUAAACUUUUUUUAUAAGGGAAUACAGUGAUGAUCGUGUGCCUUUUUGUAUUUACUUUAUGAAUAAGGAGCGGCUAACUCCGUGCCAGCAGCCGCGGCACUGCGGUGGAUGCGAGCGUUAUCCGGAUUUAUUGGGUUUAAAGUGAGCGUAGCUGGGUUGUUAAGUCAGUUGUGAAAGUUUGCGGCUCAACCGUAAAAUUGCACUUGAUACUGGCAGUCUUGAGUGCAGUUGAGGUAGGCGGAAUUCGUGGUGUAGCGGUGAAAUGCUUAGAUAUCACGAAGAACACCGAUUGCGAAGGCAGCUUACUAAACUGCCACUGACAUUGAUGCUCGAAAGUGUGGGUAUCAAACAGGAUUAGAUACCCCAGUAGUC